rnacentral:ncRNA from 1 species
CGGUACUACUAGGGGUGCUUGGUUCAAUUUUGACCUUGCUGAGAUCAUACCCUUCGAACGUGAUUUCUGCAUAAUAGCAGCGCACGGAAGUUAGCCAUCUGCUUUU